UUUAAAUUAUACCGGAAAUGUGCGCUCUGGUUUUUUUAAACAAACAUUUAGUCGUCGAUGAUUGUGUGUGGAUGUAACGAGGGGAGAGAUAACUUGACACAAACAAACUUUUUACAUUUAAACUAUAAAACGAAGCAGUUUUAUGUGAUAUACAGCCAUUCUAUGGACGCUAGUGUGUUAGUGUUUUUCUCGAUAAACCUUUUUUGGUGUCAAGUUAACAUGCUAGCAUGUGUUUAGUGCUGCGGUCCAGCGUUUUCAUCUCUGUGGACACUCAAUGCACAGCGGACGGCUCGUCCGGAAAAGACAAAUGUUUGAAAAACCGACAGGAAAGUACUGGGAGAUGGUUCAAAGACCACCAACAGCCAUGAGACCAUUGGGUGGAAAAAUAGGACCGCUCCACCCUCAUAACUCUGGGCACCGUAUUCCAGUCCUGAAGUACUAAGGAGCACAGCAGGGACAUCAACGCCAUCCAGACGUCUGUAGACCUCAUCAUGUUCAUCAGUGCCUCAAAGGACAACAUCGCCAAGUCAGAAGACGUGGGUUCGGUUUCAGCGGCAACAUCAUCGUGUUUUCCACCGCCAAGCAGAUGGGCUGUGAGUGUUUCCUGAACUUGUUCGACCUGAGGGGUCCACAACAGAUCGGUAGGUGGUUAUGGGAGGUGAGCAGGAGGCCAUGGAAGUGACCACAACCUCCACCAGGAUUGGCAGAUUUGAGGCCAGGUUCUUCCUUGCUAUGCAGGAGGAGGAGUUUGGCGUCAAAGGUCAUGUU